AUCGGAGUUUCUUCAUUGCAGCACAGUUUAUAAAUACAUUUACAAAUAUAAAUAUCUCUGGUUUCGUGAAGGUUGGUAUUAGAUUGUUAAACACAGAAACACUACUAAGUACUCCACAAGGGAAAUCCCGUUAUACACACAGGAAGAUUGCCGACAUAAGGUAUGACGAAACUGACGUCGUUGAAGAGACGGUUACUUCACGUAAAGUCGUACGAUAUCGCGUAGCUUGUUGCUUCGACGUCGUUAUGAUUGGCGCAGCAAUGCUAGAAGUUAUGUGCUUCGGUGUCGCGAUAACCUACGUCCCCAGAUUCGGCGUCGCGAUGCUUGGCGUCGGGUGGCUUGCAGGGAUUUUAUAUUGAUUGACUUAACGUAACGUUAGGGGAGGCCUGGUCUAGUUGGCUACAGGGUUUAAUUGUUAAUAACUCACCCUGCCUUUGCAAGAGAGCAGCGCUAAUUAACAGUCCUGUUGGUAGGCAAAAUUAGUUGGCACAUGUGUCAUAUGCAGUAAUUCACUACGUUUUACUGAGAGUGUUUAGAGUUUCAGUGUGAGUAAAGGAAGUAAAAUAUGCCGAGAAGAUAAAAAAAGCAAAACGUGAUGGGCAACCACUGCUCCACUUCUGUAUCGUAACCCCCUGUGGACUUGAAGAGAGAUUCCGACGUUUCGGAAAUAAACCUUUACCACAUUUACUUUGCCAGAUGCAUGAUUGAAGAAUGUUAAGGAGUAUUAUGUUUGUGUCGGUAAUGGAACUAAGAUUAUAUUAAAAACGGAGUAUUAGGCUAACAAGCAGGACAGCUUAUGACUUCAGUUGGAACUCAUAUCAAGAGUGAGAGUAGAGGCCUAAAGAUCACAGGCUAUAAAUCCAUUGAGAUACAGAUCUUUUCUUUGAAACAUUUUUGAUGUGGAUCAUAUGCAAAGGGGUGUAAGACUUGGACCCCAACAUUAAGGAAAAUACAGACUGAAGAUGGCCGUCUUCUGAGUAGUUGAGACAUGUAGUCUUGCAGAAGUUUACCGACGUUCCAGAGGUUUUUGCUAUCUCCAUCUACUCAUCGCCCUGAUGGUGGAGGCAGAGACAACAUCAGAAACGUCAGUAAAGUACUAGAAUAUAUGGCGCAACAAGGCGGAAGACAGAUCUUCAUACUCGCGGCCGUGAGAACCUCAUGUCUCACAAAAGAGACGGAGUUUGAGAACAGGGUGUUGAGGAGAACAUUUGGACCUAAGAGGAAAGAAGUGAAAAGAUGACGGAGAAAAACUACAUAAUAAGGAUCUCCAUAAGAAGAUGUUAACUGUUACAUCAAGAGACAAGUCUGCAGAAGUAACAUUUUAAAGAAACAUGAAUAUAUAAAUGUCGAUAAAUUACACUAAGCAGAUUUUUUAGGAUUUGUAUAGAACCCAAAAUUUCAGUACCGUGUUCUCAACUUACCACUACCAGACCUUGAUUUGGGCCAAUUAAAUUUAAUCAACAUCGGCACACAAUAUUAUAUUCUCAUCUAUGUCCAGUGUUCCCAGGCUUGCCGAACAAGAUUUUGUGUAAAUUUGUCUCUUCCAUGUGUUCCAUAUGCCCUGUCCAUCUUAUCCUUUCGAUUUGAUUACCUAAUAUCUGGUGAAAAGUGCGAAUUAUGAAGCUCGUAACUACGUAGCUUUCUCCAUCCUGAUAUUUUCAUUUCGUUACGGCGAGAGAUUAAGUUUUGUCCCAUAUUAAAGAAAAGGUAAAACUAAUUUUUGUCUAUUUUUUUAGUUUCAAUGUUUCUAGACAGGAGGCGCUUAGUAACUUUAAGGCGACUAUGCUAAUUUGAUUGUAAUGUAGUAUCAACAGGUAAAAUGUCACUGAACCAAAUUUAAUCGAAAUUUGUUCAGUAUUUUGUAUGUAGAGCGAUGGAGAAAGGAAUAAAUGAUACCUCUCAAUUACACGUUCAUGCACGCUCUUAAUAAAAACAAAAACUGGUGGUUUUAAAACGCAUUUAUAAGAUUACACGUCAUUAAUUUAUAGCUUAUUAGACGAUACUCUCAGCAAUAGAAUUAAAUCUAAAUCUUAGUGGUGCAGUUUGAAGACGAAAUCAAAAUUGCGAAUGCCAAUAUAGAGGAUCCCGUUGGUAUCACGCCAAAAUAUUACGAUACGUCUGAAAAUGUCUGGGUGUCACGAAGGUAAAUAAAAUAAAGAUGUGUCUCUUUUGGUCCACCGGAAUAAUGUUCAUAAAAUUGUCAUAACAGAUCAGCUGUUGUAUUAUUUAAAUAUCCAUACAGUUUAUUUUAAGAUAACCCCUGUGGAAGAAAGGCAGCUUUCGCCAGUCCAACAACGUUAAGAUAGAAAUAUAUGAGCUCUGCAUUUGUGAUUGGCUACAAGAAUCAUGACGAAGUCGUUUCAGGAGGAAGCAAGCAAGCAACAUCGCGGGAGGAGACUGCUAGCUCGUUAGUUGAGUUAGUAUGCAAAUGAGCCCAUUAUAAGACACAAGCACAUCGCAUCGCGUGCGGGGUUGGAAGCGAAAAGUGAAAAGGGGUGGAACUCUACCAUAGCAAUGCUAGUCUGCUAAUGGGCUAUUAGAAGUUAGAAACAUGAUGUAUUGGGGGUAGAUACACGGUCCUUUGGUGGAGAGGGGUGGGCGGCAUGUAAAGGGGGGGUUUAGGAAAUUGAAGGGGUUGGUUUUAGAAGUUACACAGAAUACGCUGGUGUAUAACAAUGAUGAAGAGUCAUAGGGGUGGGUGGUUGGUGGAUAGGGUGAGACGUGUUAGUCGAGGGUUGAAACAGACAUUGGUCCCACCGUCCUGCUGUGAAACGUGAUGCAUGGUGGGUGACAAGGGAGAAUUUUUAUAUAAAAAUUACUAAUCACUGGUAUGGUCCAUUUUUUUCGGUUCUUUGCGUCCAUUUAAUA